GCAGCAGUGACCGAAAUAGGUAAAAGACUGUAAAUCUUCUAAUGGCAAAAGCCCGUUGCAA
rnacentral:tRNA from 1 species